GCGCAGGAUGCGCUCCUCGAUGGAGGUGAGCCCCACGGACGCGCUGGUGAGGUCUUCCACGGAGCGGGACCACUUCAAGUCCUCUUUAAUGGCCUCGUCCACCACCAGCUUGCCAGAAGAUUCUCUGGGAUGGAAGUUUACAUUCGUCAAAAUACUACUCAUUUCAUGAGAAAGAUCUGUGCCAUUAUUUGUAACCCAGACCAUUAUUCGAGCUUCAUGAAGGACAAAAUGAAAAAGCAAACCACAAUGCUUUAUGCAGCAUAAGCUGUGACACU